rnacentral:rRNA from 1 species
UACGGAGGGUGCGAGCGUUGUCCGGAAUCACUGGGCGUAAAGCGCACGUAGGCGGAUUGUUAAGUCAGGGGUGAAAUCCUGGAGCUCAACUCCAGAACUGCCUUUGAUACUGGCGAUCUUGAGUCCGGGAGAGGUGAGUGGAACUGCGAGUGUAGAGGUGAAAUUCGUAGAUAUUCGCAAGAACACCAGUGGCGAAGGCGGCUCACUGGCCCGGUACUGACGCUGAGGUGCGAAAGCG